UCAUCUUCACUCAAUUGAAGACUUGUUACUGCAACACACAACAAGCAAGCAAAACCCCAAUUCGAAAUCAAAACCCUAAAAAUUGAUAAUCUACAAAAUCAAAACAAAAAAAAAUGUCAUUUCGGAUUCGUGUGAGAUGCAAAAUCAAAAUAAAAUCAAAGAGAAAUGAAAUGAAAUGAAAACAAAAUCGGUUUCGUCAGAUCAAAAGACAUUCCUUAUGAAAUGACCAACCGGCCUGUUGUGCAAACUUAUGAUGGUCCUCGAUCAACAUCACUCGAAGUUUAUGAACCACACACAAGAACCAUCAACAAUCUUGGUAUUACUGGUAAACAAAAUUCAUUCUUUCUGAGUCCCUACACAGAAACCUUAGUUCUGCUGGAUCAGUUGGAUGGACAAUCUGUAAAGGUGCAAUUGCAGUUAUAGCCUUAUGAACCAGUUCAAAUCAUUUGAAAGGUUGAUACAAAUCCUAUUUGAUGUUCCAGAUCAACGUCACGAACCCAGGUAUAUGCUAAAGACAUCAAUUUAACAUCAGAACACUUGGAUGUAUAAUUAUAAGGCAGACGAUAGAGGUGGAAAUUAAUCAAGAAUAAUCAGGCUAUGAAAGUUAUAUUUUUAUGCUGUCUAGAGCUAGUGUCUUCCUUCUUUUUCGAUAUUAUGUAAUUGCCAACUUCUAUUCCUUUUGAAACAGAAAUUUGUGAAAACGAUAUGAAUGUGAUUUUAACAUUGGAUAGUUAAUAAAGAGUAUCUCUUUGUGUUA